rnacentral:rRNA from 1 species
AGUGAACGCUGGCGGCAGGCCUAACACAUGCAAGUCGAACGGACGCACAGUAAGCGCUCGCCUUUGAGGGUGGCGGGUGGCGGACGGGUGAGGCAUACAUCGGAAUCUUAUUUUUCGUGGGGGACAUCGUAGGGAAAUAUAUGAUACUAGAGCAUACGACCUACGGGAGAAAGCAGGGGUUCAUCGGACCCUUCGUGUCUGAAUGAGCCGAAGCCGGACUAGAUAGUUGGGGGGGUAAAGGCCCACCAAGGCGACGAUACGUAGCUGAUCUGAGAGGAUGAUCGGCCACACUGGAACUGAGACACGGUCCAGACUCCUACGGGAGGCAGCAGUGGGGAAUAUUCGGCAAUGGGCGCAAGCCUGACCCAGCCAUACCGCGUGAGUGAUGAAGGCCUUCGGAUCGUAAAGCCCUGUUAUUAGGGAAGAAAAGAUGCGUAAGUAAAUGCCGCUGUUCUGACGGUACCUAAAGAAUAAGCACCGGCUAACUACGUG